AAUGGGCGCAAGCCUGACGGAGCAACGCCGCGUGAGGGAGGAAGGCCUGUGGGUUGUAAACCUCUUUUCUCAGGGAAGAAGUACUGACGGUACCUGAGGAAUCAGCAUCGGCUAACUCCGUGCCAGCAGCCGCGGUAAGACGGAGGAUGCAAGCGUUAUCCGGAAUUAUUGGGCGUAAAGCGUCCGUAGGCGGUUCAGAAAGUCUGCUGUUAAAGCUCACAGCUCAACUGUGAAUCGGCAGUGGAAACUUCUGGACUAGAGAGUGGUAGGGGUAGAGGGAAUUCCUAGUGUAGCGGUGAAAUGCGUAGAUAUUAGGAAGAACACCAGUGGCGAAGGCGCUCUACUGGGCCAUUACUGACGCUGAUGGACGAAAGCUAGGGGAGCGAAAGGGAUUAGAUACCCCUGUAGUC
rnacentral:rRNA from 1 species